rnacentral:rRNA from 1 species
UGGGGAAUAUUGCACAAUGGGCGCAAGCCUGAUGCAGCCAUGCCGCGUGUGUGAAGAAGGCCUUCGGGUUGUAAAGCACUUUCAGCGGGGAGGAAGGCGAUAAGGUUAAUAACCUCAUCGAUUGACGUUACCCGCAGAAGAAGCACCGGCUAACUCCGUGCCAGCAGCCGCGGUAAUACGGAGGGUGCAAGCGUUAAUCGGAAUUACUGGGCGUAAAGCGAGCGCAGGCGGUUUCUUAAGUCUGAUGUGAAAGCCCCCGGCUCAACCGGGGAGGGUCAUUGGAAACUGGGAGACUUGAGUGCAGAAGAGGAGAGUGGAAUUCCAUGUGUAGCGGUGAAAUGCGUAGAUAUAUGGAGGAACACCAGUGGCGAAGGCGGCUCUCUGGUCUGUAACUGACGCUGAGGCUCGAAAGCGUGGGGAGCAAACAGG